rnacentral:rRNA from 1 species
CUACGGGCGGCACCAGUGAGGAAUUUUGCGCAAUGGGGGAAACCCUGACGCAGCAACGCCGCGUGAGUGAUGAAGGCUUUCGGGUCGUAAAGCUCUGUCAAGUGGGAAGAAAAUAUGAAGUGCCAAUACCACUUUGUACUGACGGUACCACUGAAGGAAGCACCGGCUAACUCCGUGCCAGCAGCCGCGGUAAUACGGGGGGUGCAAGCGUUACUCGGAAUCAUUGGGCGUAAAGGGCGCGCAGGCGGCCAAGAAAGUCAGAUGUGAAAGCCCGGGGCUUAACCCCGGAAGUGCAUUUGAUACUACUUGGCUUGAGUAUGGGAGAGGGAAGUGGAAUUCCUGGUGUAGAGGUGAAAUUCGUAGAUAUCAGGAGGAACACCGGUGGCGAAGGCGACUUCCUGGACCAAUACUGACGCUGAGGCGCGAAGGCGUGGGGAGCAAACAGGAUUAGAUACCCCAGUAGUC